UCACCUCUUCGUCUCUGAGCUUCAAAGACCAAAUAGAUCCUCCGCCUCUUACCACCAUGCUCCGCCCACCGAAAAUUGCCUCACGGCGGUUCCGGCGGUCCAAACGACCCCAUCUUUACACCACUGAUUCCCCUCGACCUCCCCAAUCAGAAUACCUAACACUUAUCCCUCGAAUCUCAGCCGCUUGCUUCGAAUAUUAGAUCGAAAAUAAGGCUGGAACCCUAGUUCGUCCAAUGACCCCCAAUUUCACACCACAGCUCCGCCCUGACCUCUUCUCUCCAAAUCCACCCUCCCCUUCCUUCGAAUCUAGUCCCAGCCGCUCGAAUAUUGAUUUUGAGCCAAGAACCCUAGCACCGCCACAAAAUCACUGGUGGCGGCGCCUAACCUAAACCCUCCCAAACUCAUACCUUCUGACCACUAGCCCACCCUCGUCCCAAGUCCCCUACUAGUUUUGCUCGAAUCAGAGCGGAGUUGGUCGAAUCUCAAACGAAGAGCGAACCCUAAAGGGAAAGGAUUGAGGUCAUGGUUGACCUUAGUCGUAUGUUCUCAGUCGAUAACAUUCGAUUAAGGUCCUUCUCGUCUUCAAACACAAGUGAGAGUUUCAACUAAAACAAAUGGAAACUGGGACCGAAAUUCUAAAGUAUUUUUCUUUACCUUUUCUUUUAUUGUUUCAUGGUUUGUCUGAUUGCGAUUCGUUAUAGUUAUGAUUUUUUUUUUCAAUUACUUUCCUUUCUUUCUUCUCCAUCGAACUUUUUCUUGGUCCAGCUUUCUUUUAUCAGUCAACAUGUGGUUAAAUAGUUUUGUCGAUCAAUCCGGCUUAAUUGUAGUUCAGUAGUUCUGGUCAAAUCAUUUGUUGUUAUGCCAAAUUGUUUCAUCUUUGUGUAAUGUUUGGUACCCUACUCCGUGACGUGACUUGGCAUAUGAAUUCAGUUGUUCAUUCAGUGUGUUUACAGUUUCAUUUGCUCGUAUUUAGGUUUAGUGUAGAAUUGUGUUAGUCUAUUCCCUGAAUCCCUAAACCCGUCAUCUUGGUUGCAAUACUGUUCGUUCUGAUAUGAGUUCAAUUGUCGUGUGACUUUAUUGGUUUGAAGCUGAAUGUGGUUCUGUUUGAGUUUGGAGUCCGAGGGAAUUGAAGUUGUGUUUAAGUUCAGCCUUUAGUUGAUCAGUGGUUAGGAUUUCUAACUUAUUUGAAUCGGUUAUAGCUGAUGGAUUUGGUACAGAUUGAAAGGGGGUUGAGGUAGGAUAGUAGUUCAGGGCAUUCAGGAGGGUAGUUUGGGAUUUGAGAAGUUUGAAAUGGUUAAUGAGAGUGGUCUGACAGUAAAUGUACCAAUAUAACCAUUAAACUAGUGUAUUGUCCCAUAAUUGUGGGAUGAGAAUCAACAAUAGCAUGGGGAGGUCUAAUGAGAAUUUAAUUAAAGUAUGUACCAUUGAAUAAAAUAAAGGAAAGACAAGGGUUAAUGGGUGACAAAAUAGACCCUAGUGGAGUUCUAGAGAAUAUCAUGGGAAAAAUGUUUAAUUAAUGGGGUUGAGUGCUCCUAAGAGCUGUAAAAAGGGUUGUAGUUUGUAUAUAAAUAGGGGCCUGGACAGAGUUAAAAGGGGGGAUCAGUUUUGGAGAAUGGAGAGAGAGAGAGAGAGAAAAGAUUCAGAAAAUAUUGAGAGCAAUAGGGAGGAGACUUUGAUCAGUUUUUUUUUUCAGAAAGUGAAAAGAGUUCAGUUUUUUUUUUAGUUCGGAAAUCAGUACUAAAAAAGAAAGAGAGAGCUUCAGUAUUCAGUUUCUUCUUUUAAAGAGGUAUAACUGGAGAGAUUUGAAUCAGUUUUGAGAGUCAGUCUUAGGACCCUUUUAGAGAAUAAUUGUUCCAAUGGAUUUUGUAGUUCAAAUUCGAGUUCAGUGGCUAUUUUUCCUGGGAUUUGAUUGCUGGAAACUUUCUAAUGUGUAAGGUUUCGAUUCCAAGCUAUAUUGGUGCUGUUUGAAUUACUCUGGAAGUUACUGGUUUUAUUUCAUGUGGAUCUUGGGUUUAAAUCGAGUCAUUUAAGGUUUAGUUGAUCUGUUGCUGGGUGAUUUUGGUUGAUUUUGGGUGGUGCCCUGAGUUGAUUUACCUAUCCUGUUUGAUUUAAAAACUUUCCUGCAAUCUUUGAUUCAUUUCUGGGCUGAAAGUAGCUGUGUGGGUUGCUGUUUGAACUUCUGAUUGCUGCUGUCUUCCCUUCUGUUUGCUAACUUCUCCAUCUUCUCGAUUACCUUUCCAGGUACAUGCUUCGAAUUCCCUUGAUGUAAGUUCAACAUUGGAGUGAAAAAUGUAGUUUUAUGCCAGAGUCGAGUUCAUUUGAAUAUUUGUAGUUAUAGUCAGUUAAAUGUUGUACUUAUUUAGUUUUUAACCAGUUGUAUUGUUAACAUGAUAUGGACUGCAUGGAUUUGAACUAGGACUGUUUUAUAUUACAUGAAUAAUAGACGACUGUAUAAUUAGGACUAUUUAUAAGUUGUUUGGGCUGGUUGAUUCCGGGACUGUUUGGAUUUUGGAAUGUGAUUAUGUAAUAGUCAUAUUGGUUUAGUUUUGUUUUGUAGUAUAAUUUUUGAAAUUAGAAGCAAGCUGUAAGCUGAAACAGGAAAGUGUUUUUGGAAUUCAUGAAUUUCACUUGUACUAAUAAAAUUGAGCUGAAAUCAGUAAGUAUGUGUUUAAAUGUGGUUAUUUAUUAAGAGUGC
rnacentral:lncRNA from 1 species